GACGUAGGGGGCCAGCGUUGCUCGGAAUUACUGGGCGUAAAGGGUUCGUAGGCGGUGCGGCAAGUCGGGAGUGAAAUCUCUGGGCUUAACUCAGGGGCUGCUUCCGAAACUGCCGUGCUUGAGUGCGGGAGAGGCGAGUGGAAUUGCAGGUGUAGCGGUGAAAUGCGUAGAUAUCUGCAGGAACACCCCGUGGCGAAGGCGGCUCGCUGGACCGCAACUGACGCUGAGGAACGAAAGCUAGGGAGCAAACAGG
rnacentral:rRNA from 1 species